UCUAACUGCGACACAUUCAAAAAGAAGAAAAAAGAACUGUGACAAGAAAAUCAUUUAUGUUUCUAACUAAAACAGCAAAUCCUUUUUUUCACAGGAAGCAGAGCAUCAGACAAUGGUGAAAAGUAUGAGGAAAAUGACAUUUCCGUGUGAGGAAGGAGGGAGGCACUAAAGCUUACCAUAUUCAAGUAUAUAAGGGCCAAGAAUAAACAAAGACUGAAGACGGAGGGGAAUCCCAGAGCCGGAACGAUGUGGAAACCAAGCCAAGGAGCAAAUUUUAUAUUUUUCCAUUGCAGGCCUGAAACUUCCCUCAGCUUCUAAGCCAAGACGCCAUCUUUCUUGUCCUAUUCGACAAUUAUAUUCGGCCAUUCCAUAUCUAGUUUGAUUUGAGAUGACCCUUUUUGUCCCAAUCAUGAAUAUGAUGUGGUGGAACUUUGAGGGUAAUCCGAUCAGUUUGCUCUUGAAUGUUGUGUUGGUCGCAGGGUCACUUCCGGGAAGAGGAGGUGUAACUAUUUCGAGAGACGGUCAUUGCCUAUUGAUGGCCUACGGUUAAUGAUAGCAAGAACAGCAGGUAUUGCAGUUGAAGCCAUAGAAGUAUCUGGGGC